AAAAACUAUAGUGUAAACUCAGUUCUAAGUAGUUGGUAAUUGUUUAUUUACUGCCAUUAUCACUGCCAUCUUUAUAACGCUGUCACUUCUAUUCUAAAACACUGAAGUACUUUAAACUUUGUCCUCCCCAAAUAUAAACAAUGCCUACACACAAGCCACUGCAAAACUUCAUGAAGGUCAGUAAUUACGAAGUUUUAAAUAGACAUAAGGAAAAAUAAGCCAGCGAUGAGAAGCAUCGGAUGGCAUCUAUUGGUUUAAUUUUAGGUGUUGACUCUUGUCUGUUUGGGCAUGAUAAAAGGCAUUUUCGUGAUCAAAGAGCUGGAAAUGUAAAACAUGUAUUACCCUACAAAAUGUUAUAUAAAUGAGAAAACUAAUUUAAAUUCUGGUAUAUUUCAUAGCUCAACAAAUUUGAUAGUUUACUUUGCAUCUGUAAAAACUGUUGUUAGCAGAUGUAGCUGCUAUAAAUGAGCACCAUGUUAAUAGAAUUUAGGUAAUCCAUUAUGAAAUAUAUUAUCAUAUUUUUACUUACUACAGGAUGGAUGUUCAUAUUUGGCUCAGAGGUGCUUGCAUUAACCACAUUAAAGAUAUUCUAGCAACUAAUUAUAUUUUCCCUUUGAUAUAGGCUUUGCAGAUUUAUUCUGCAUUCUGCUGUCACAAUAUACAAGACUUGUCAGUCAUUUUUGCACCUUUAUAAGCGGAGUAUGGAUUUUUUUUCAUAUUGACAGAUGAUAUCUGAUCAAGAUCAUUUACUAUGUUCCUUGUACUCUGCUCUUAUUGAAAACUUAGUUUUUUUUCUUUUUAAAGUAAUCCGGGCUGAAGGCACCCAUUCUUUAUUACAGUAUCUAUUGGAAAAUCUUCUUAAGACAAAGAUUGAGGAUCAUUUUUUACCCCAGAGUUUUCACCCUUGUUCUAAUCCAUUUGACUUCAUGAAAGCAGAAUUUACUCACAGCCUGAUCUCUAACCUUAUGUGGGAGUCUACAAGUUUUAAACCUGUCCCUCUUACAGAGGAUGUGUAAUACUGUUUUGUGCUGAAGCUUUUGGUAUUGUUCUGGCUGAGCAAUGACCUUGUUGGACCCACACUCCAUCUCUACCGGAAGACCAAGAUCUAGUUAUAGCACUCUUUUUUGAAUGGGGCAAAUGUUUUUUGAGUUAUUUUUUCAGGUGACUGUUGCUGAUUGGAAAACUGUCUUUUAUGAAUGGUUGGAAGGAUUGUGCUGUUGUGUCAUUUCAUCAAGGUAUUUGUUGUUGCAAACAUUAUUUAAAGUCUUAAUCAAAUGAGGAAACACCUCUGCUGUUGCAGGACAGUCUUUUAACUUUUUUUUUCACUUCAUCUUUUUGAUGCUGACUGAGUGGAUUUUUCUUUAGUUGAAGCAGUUCAGAUUUUGGUCAGACCUCCUUC
rnacentral:lncRNA from 1 species